AGGAGCCUCAAGGUGGACAUCACUGUAGUCAGAUGAUAAAGGUUAACAUCACCAACAAUAGAACAGUGCAGCAGCAUGUGCCUCCUAGUGUGACACACUGAGAACACAGAAUUGUUACUGGGAUAUUUCUGCCACAAGUACUUCACUUAAUCAAUUGAGAGAAAACACCAGACAAAACCCACUUGGAGGGAUGUGCUAUCAAAAGUCGGAUACUUAAUAAAAGUCAGUCUUGUGAAGUACUAAGGGAGCUUGAGGACUUCUGUAAUAAAAGGAAGUAACGGAAGAUGACAACUGAAUGGCAGAUGAUGCUGAGUUUCAAGCAUAUGGCCAUUUCAUGUCCUACCAAUCACCUACCCAAAGUUUCCAAAAAAGACCAGUCAUUAUGAGAAGCUAAAAUAAGAUAUUUAAAAAAAGUAGACCUGGGCAGCCAAUAGACCUUAGAGAGAUUUUCUAAACCUGGGAGCAAUGAAGCCAACAUCUCAGAACUACACAGAUCGCUCAAGC